UCAUGUACGCUAAUAUACAUAAAUAUAGUUCAAUACAGUAUUCUGAAUAGAAACUUAUAAAAAUUGAGAGACAGAAGAAUUUCAAAUCAAAUCAUUUAAUCGAAGUAUCACAUGCAAUCUUGACUUAACAGAAACAAAAAAGCAAAAUACAGAGUACAGUAAGGAAAUAAGGAAUAAGGUUAUAAAUUUGUACUUGAAAUCAAUUCCAAACAAAAUCGGGAAAGAGUUACUAAGAUAGUUUGGUCAUAAAAUAUAUGAAACACGAACUAAAGGUAGCAAGGAAAAACGAGGAACAGGAUAGGAAAUAAUGGGAACAGCUGUGGAUAAAGGAAUCCACGUAAUGAUACACCUCAACAGACUGAGGAAUAAAUUAGCUGAUCUACUUCUGUAUCCUUCAUUCCAUUUCAAUAAAAAAUAUAAAAGAUCAA